UGAUGAUCAAUAAUCAUGAAUUCCUUCCUUUGUAAGCCCAAAAGGAAGCUUUAUUUAGAAUCCCAUCCUUCCCAUCUUAACAAACGGAUGAAUAUAUCUAUCUAACCACUCUAAUUAGCUUAUUAUUAGGUUAUAGUCAUUUCAUAAGUGGGACCAACAGUAAAGAAGCUUAUGAAUUAUGUUUUGUUGUCAUGGAAACUUUUGCUACUUUAUUUUUUUGAGACGCACGACAAUUCCUCAUCGUCAUGGUGAUCAACUCUUGGUCUCAUUAUGUGAGGCUUCUAAGUAUAACUCCAGAAGCACGUAUUCUUCUAGGAUCGAAUCAGCCCAGAAUUUAUGAAGUGUAGAUUCAGGGUUCCACAGAUAUCAUGAUGACAUCGGGGAAAUGUUCAAAGGGAAGGUGCGACGAAUUGAAUGUCGUUGAUAAGUAUAUAAGUGCAAUCCACUAAUGAAGAGCAAUAUAUAGAAUAUGAAUAUGGUUAUGCGGUCGUGGUAUGUAUAUGAUCCAUUAAUUAAUAAUUAUAAUAUGAUACGAUCAGCAGUCACAUCGAAUUAAGGUGAAGGAGGAAGAUGACAUCAGAGUUAUCUGGAGUGCUCUCUUUUUUGAUCAAAUGAGCGGUGGACGCGCCAUGCAGGUCUAUCCUUCUCCUUCACCAUUCAUAAGCCAUUGCAAAUUGAAUAUCACAUUAGUUGAUCCUGAAAUCGUUUCAAAUGAGAUUCAGAUCCCUAUUUUCAA